CCUACGGGUUGCAGCAGUGAGGAAUAUUGCGCAAUGGGGGCAACCCUGACGCAGCAACGCCGCGUGAGUGAGGAAGGUUUUCGGAUUGUAAAGCUCUGUCGAGCGGAAAGAAAUGCACGAUGGCUAAUAUCCAUCAUGCUUGACGGUACCGCUAGAGGAAGCACCGGCUAACUCCGUGCCAGCAGCCGCGGUAAUACGGGGGGUGCAAGCGUUGUUCGGAAUCAUUGGGCGUAAAGAGCGUGUAGGCGGCUGGACAAGUCAGAUGUGAAAUCCCUGGGCUUAACCCAGGAAGUGCAUUUGAAACUGUCUAGCUGGAGUAAGGGAGAGGAAAGUGGAAUUCCUGGUGUAGAGGUGAAAUUCGUAGAUAUCAGGAGGAACACCGGUGGCGAAGGCGACUUUCUGGCCCUAUACUGACGCUGAGACGCGAAAGCGUGGGUAGCAAACAGGAUUAGAUACCCCUGUAGUC
rnacentral:rRNA from 1 species